rnacentral:rRNA from 1 species
GGAAUUGUUCGCAAUGGGCGAAAGCCUGACGACGCAACGCCGCGUGGAGGAUGAAGGCCUUCGGGUCGUAAACUCCUUUCGAUCGAAAAGAAUUCCCUUGGGACUAAUAAUUCCGAGGGUUGACGAUAUCGAGUGAAGAAGCCACGGCUAACUCGGUGCAAGCAGCCGCGUUAAUACGGGGGGGGCAAGCGUUGUUCGGAAUUACUGGGCGUAAAGGGCUCGUAGGCGGCCAACUAAGUCGGACGUGAAAUCCCUCGGCUCAACCGAGGAACUGCGUCCGAUACUGGAUGGCUUGAGUCCGGGAGAGGGAUGCGGAAUUCCAGGUGUAGCGGUGAAAUGCGUAGAUAUCUGGAGGAACACCGGUGGCGAAGGCGGCAUCCUGGACCGGCACUGACGCUGAGGAGCGAAAGCCAGGGGAGCAAAC